GAUGGUUCUCAGGUGAUGCACCCUGGAAUUUGGUGCUCUCCUCUCUGGUUCCGGGUGGGUCACCUGAGAACCACA
rfam:Myotis lucifugus cont2.2163, whole genome shotgun sequence.